UGGUGGAGUGAUUUGUCUGGUUAAUUCCGUUAACGAACGAGACCUCGGCUUACUAACUAGUGGGCCAAACUCUUGUAGUUUGUGCAAACUUCUUAGAAGGACUAUCGGUGCGUAGCCGAUGGAAGCUCGAGGCAAUAACA
rnacentral:rRNA from 1 species